UGCCAGCAGCCGCGGUAAUACGAAGGGGGCGAGCGUUGUUCGGAUUUACUGGGCGUAAAGGGCGCGUAGGCGGCGUGACAAGUCAGGCGUGAAAGCCCCGGGCUCAACCUGGGAACUGCGCUUGGGACUGUCAUGCUUGAGUUCGGGAGAGGAGCGUGGAAUUCCCAGUGUAGAGGUGAAAUUCGUAGAUAUUGGGAAGAACACCGGUGGCGAAGGCGGCGCUCUGGACCGAUACUGACGCUGAGGCGCGAAAGCGUGGGGAGCAAACAGGAUUAGAUACCCUGGUAGUCCACGCGGUAAACGAUGUGUGCUAGACGUUGGGGAGCCUAGCUCUCCGGUGUCGCCGCUAACGCUUUAAGCACACCGCCUGGGGAGUACGGCCGCAAGGUAAAACUCAAAGGAAUGACGG
rnacentral:rRNA from 1 species